ACCCAGAUGAUGAGUCCCAAGCAGGACGAAAUGAGCCUCCUGGAU
rnacentral:hammerhead_ribozyme from 1 species